GUACAUGCAUAUAUUUUCUUUACAUAAAAAGACAACCAACCGAAUAUUAAUUAAAACAUACUGAUUAUUAAAAUGCUCCAAUUAUUACCACAGACAUUGGCCCUGAUUCAAAAAAGUGUUUAAUCGCAUGUUGAUUCAUUUUUUUUCAGUCUUAGGGACUUUCCUGUGUUCCAGUGUGUGUGCAUAAGCAUUCUUCCCAAUUUCUUCCCCUCUCCUUGAAUUAGCAUUAGAAAAAAUCUUGUCUCCACAUGCAAAGAAACCCAAGGUUCAUAACGCAGGUUCUGUUGCCAUACCCCAUCUCUGAUUCUUCAGCUUCACUGAGAGAAUGUAUGGAGAAAAAUUCUCAGUUCUUGCAAGUUAUGGAGCCUCACUGUCUUCUCAUGAUAUAAUUUGUGCUGAAUAAGGAUGAAACCAAGACCAUGUCCAACAGCUGGUUCUGUGGCAGAGACAAAUUUUCAUCUGGACUGAAAUGAAGUAUACAUAAUGAAUAUGCACCAGACGUGACAUUGGGAGAUGUGGAUGGAAACAACUCUUCCUGCUACCAGAGCUAGUUCUGUGAGAAUGUCCUGUUAAAGAUCCACACAUGAAGUGGUUAAUAAUAUAAUAUAUAAUAUAUAUAAUAUAUUAUAUACAUAAUAUAUAUAUAUAUUAUGUAUAUAUUAUAUAUAGUAUAUAUAUUAUAGUAUAUAUGUAAUAUAAUAGUGGUUGCUCUCUCAAACACCAUAGCAUUUGUCAGGAAGCCCAAAACAGUUCAGUGCUUCUGGUCAGUGAUGGAAGUAAUAGGAAGUUGGUGGAGGUUAAGGAUGCCUUGUCUCAGAACAGGUUUCCGUGAGAGCAGAAAGACAGAUGUUCUGAAGGCACUGAAACUGAUCUCUGAAACAGUCUCUAGUUUGGGUGCACGGGUCUAAACCAAGCCUACAGAAUAAAUGGGAUGUCUCUGGGUUAGGCUGAUGUUUA
rnacentral:lncRNA from 1 species